CAACGGCUUCUUAAGCCAAAAAAAAAGCUACUGCAUCAGUUGUGAUUUAUUCCCUCCCAAUAUUUUCACUGUACCACCAAAAAUUAAAGAAAUAUAUAAUAAAAAUUAAAUAAAUAGAUAAAGAAAAUUUCACUCAAUCUCAUAUUAUAUCGCUAGUACUCUCCGAUCGCCCACAAUCGCCACCAUUACUAUGCACCGGAGACAAUCACCACCAAUACUACACUCCAACCACAAUCACCACCAAUACUACACUCCAACCACAAUCACCACCAAUCGACCAAGUGCUCCGACCAUAAAAUCGACCACCAGUGCAUGCUUCGACCAACAUAUCGACUAUCAGUGCGAGCUCCGACCACAAAUCGACCACUAGUGCUCCAACCACAAAUCAACUUCUCCAUUUCUCCGACAACCUCUUCGAUUUUAGCUCUCAAAUUUGCACUUUAAUUAUAGCUUCGAACGGCACAGAUUGUUAUAAUAUUCUUUUCUAAGAUUACAUUAACAGUUAGAUCAAUCAAAAUUAAAAAACCUUGAGUAUCCCCCCUUAAAUUCAAAACCCCAUUGUGAUCAUUCAGUGAAAUUCCCAAAUCUCUCUUCCAUUUGCUCUAGUCUUCUUCUUCACCGACGUCUCAGUCACCGCGAUUGCACACAAUGGACAGUACUCUAUUUUGCUAUCUAGCCCUAGAAAAUCUAUGUGAUAACUUUGAUCAGGCAGUCACAAUCUCGGGCGAUGAUUUGAUGAAGGCUUCUUCAUCCAUUCCAAAUGGAAGUUUGUUUAUCAUCUUCCUUGGAUUCUACUCUUUUUAGAAAAAUAAUUGGUUGAUUCUUUGUGGAUUGUUGUUUUUAACAUUUUGAUGUGAUAUUUUUAUCUAUUUCGAGAAAGGUUAAUUGGGUUUCUCUAGUGAAUUUAAUUCGAGAAUCAAAUACUUUAUGUUUUAUUUGAAACCUACUUUUUAAUGAAUGGGUGAAUUGAUACUGCCAAGAAAUUAUAUUAAAACAGCAUAAAUUCGGAUUUCUAUUCUUGUUCGAUAAUUGUUUCUACAUGAGUCAAUAGUUUGGAAAUAUUUAAUGUUUUUUUAAUCUUGUGUAAUGAGAAUAACUAAAAGAUUUCAUUGAUUAGUUGUUGUGUAAACACUGUAAGGUACUUUGAUGUUUGAACAUUUAACGAGCUGCAACAUUCUUUUUAGUUUGUUACUCAAGAAACUAGUUGUAACUGAUAUUGUUACUUUUUUUUCUUUUUCUUUUUUAUUUUUGUGUGUGUAUGAUGAGAAUAACUAAAAGAUUUUGAGUAGCUAUUGUGUAUACUCUAUUAGAUUUUUUGAUGUUUGAACAUUCAAAGAGGUGCGGCAAUCUUCUAUAUUUGUUACUCAAGAAACUGGUAGUAACUGAUAUUAAUUACACCCUUGUUAUUUGAUGAAUGUGCAAAAACUUAGGGUGGUCGAAAUCGGGCAGAAUUUUGUUAUGCUUGAUUUAUCGUCAUGGAUUACUUUGCAUCUGAAUUUCAAAAGUUUUGAGCCCUCUCCCCUGGUCCACCUAAGCCUAUUAAGUGAGUUGGAUUGAUGUGUGUUGAUGAAUAUUCUCAAUGACAGGCUUUGCUUCUUACAUUUGUUGGAUUUCUGUCUUUUGAAUUGGUUCAGUUAAAGUUGUCAAAACUCCUAAUUUACCGUAUGAGAAUAAUGCUUCACAUUGUACUACAAAAGUAUAUUCAUCAUAUUAAGAGUAGACUCUUCCAAUUUUAAGAAAUAUUGAAGAUAGCGACAAUCUACUCGUAAGAUGUUAACCACUCCAUGCUAAAAUAUGUGUUUAAAUGGAGAUCACACAAGUGAGUUUUCAUAGAUAUCCUUUUUUUCAUUACUUGAGUGAAGAACAGGGAGCAUCAUGUAAUGAUGUCAAUGGCACGAGCGUGGACUCUUUUACUGGUUUUGAAGCUUCUAACGCUCUUCAGUAUAUGAGUAUGAACAACAUUCUCAUAUCAGGUCUCUUAUUUAGUUGUAUGCUAACAAUUCUAAGCUAUUUUCGGUCCUUCAAAAUUAUCAAGUGUUCAACUUGAACUUCUAAAAAAGAAGUAUGAUGAAGAGGUGGAGCUACUGAAGCAGAAGUAUACGGAGGAGUGUAUAGACAACAUCUCAUAUCUGUUCGCUUUUAUAUAGUUGCAUGCUAUGAUUUGGAUCUAUUUUUUGUCUCUUUGGCUAUAUCAGGUGUUCAACAUGAACUUCUAAAAAAUCAGUAUGAUGAAGAGUGUGAACUACUCAAGAAGAAGUAUCUUGAGGAGUGUACUGAAAGAAAACGUCUAUACAAUUAAGUGAUCAAGCUCAAAGGAAGUAUCAGGGUCUUCUGUAGAUGUAGACCUUUAAAUACAGGGGAAAUUGCAGAUCGAUCAACAUCUAUGGUCGAAUUUGAUCCAUCUUAUGAAAAUGAACUUUUGAUCAGUUGUGUAGGUUCCUCCAAAAAGCAGUUUAAGUUCGAUUAUUUGUUCAAACUCGAGGACAUCCAAGGUAAGUCAAUAUCUGUGAUAUGAAGUGUGUAUCUAACAUUUUUCUGCAAGGAAUAUUUUUAAUGCUUAUUGUAAUUUCACAUCCAAAUCCUUUAAAUUUCUAUUACAGAUAUUGUUUUUGCACAAACAAUGCCCAUUGUGACCUUUGUUUUGGAUGGGUAUAAUGUCUACAUAUUUACCUAUGGACAAACUGGAACAUGUAAGAUAUUUACUAUCGAAGGGGCACCAGAAAAUAGGGGAGUCAACUACUGAACUAUAGAGAAACUAUUUAGCUUAUCUAGCAAGAGAAGCAGUAACAUGAAAUAUGAGUUGUUUGUCAGCAUGUAGAGUUUUAUAAUGAUAACAAGGUAAGAAAAUGUAAGUUAUGGUAUUAGCUUUCCUUUUGAAUAUUUAUUUACACUAAAGGGAAAUAACAACACAUGAAGAGUGUUGUUCUGCUCAAACUUCCAGUGUUACAUUCUAUACUCAAUAAUUUCUAUUAGCAUGUCACACAAGGUCAAAAUUAGUAUAAAACUGAUAGAACUAAGAUUGUUUUGUAAUUUUGGAAUAGCCAAGACACUUUCUUACUACUGUAGAUGACUAUAUUUUUAUGUUGAUCCCAUGGGAUUAUUAUUCUGUAAAUGUGAAAAUAUAAUUUGUAAGUUCUGUUCUUGUCAACUCAAGGUCAUUAAUCAAUGAAAAUUAUGUUUAGAUGUUGUGGUGAUAGAGAUUUAGAGUUGUUGUCCUUGACUAGAACUAUCUGACUUCGGUCAUGAAAUAUGUUCAAUAAAUCUAAACCUUAUAGAGUGGUAUGGUUUUUAUUUUAUUUGGGGGGUUGUAGUGCAUCGUUAUUUACAGUUUUUGUUCAUAAAGUAUUUGGCUAUUUACUGUUUCUCAUUGACCUUGAUCUAAGCAUUUGACGCUAUAUUUUCUAUAGUCAUGGCCUUGAUUUAAACUCAUCCUAGAUUUCCUGCUUUUUGCUGUAGGGAAGAUGCUCAAACUGAAAAUUUGGCAUGAAACUUGUGAUCUCUCAUUUUGCAUCUCAUGGUAUACUACAUUAAAGUGGUUGAUUAGUUUGGGUUUGGUUCAAAUUUCCUUUUUCCUCUCCUGUGGUUUCUCCUAACCUAAUUAGAUUGGGCAAUCAUGAACUUUUAUCUGUUUGACAGUUAUUAAUCAGGUGUUGCUAUAUCUACCUUAUUGCUCUUAUGUUUAUGUUCUAUGUUGUGUGAUAUAAGUUAUCUUACCUUGGUCUUACUGAGGACAUGACUUUGGAUAGGAGAGG